rnacentral:rRNA from 1 species
UACGUAGGGGGGCAAGCGUUUGUCCGGAUUUAUUGGGCGUAAAGAGCGUGUAGGCGGCUAGAUAGGUCCGUUGUGAAAACUCGAGGCUCAACCUCGAGACGUCGAUGGAAACCAUCUGGCUAGAGUCCGGAAGAGGAGAGUGGAAUUCCUGGUGUAGCGGUGAAAUGCGCAGAUAUCAGGAGGAACACCAACGGCGAAGGCAGCUCGCUGGGACGGUACUGACACUGAGGCGCGAAAGCGUGGGGAGCGAACAGG